rnacentral:rRNA from 1 species
UGGGGAAUAUUGCACAAUGGGCGAAAGCCUGAUGCAGCGACGCCGCGUGAGGGAUGACGGCCUUCGGGUUGUAAACCUCUUUCAGCAGGGACGAAGCGCAAGUGACGGUACCUGCAGAAGAAGCACCGGCUAACUACGUGCCAGCAGCCGCGGUAAUACGUAGGGUGCAAGCGUUGUCCGGAAUUACUGGGCGUAAAGAGUUCGUAGGCGGUUUGUCGCGUCGUUUGUGAAAACCAGCAGCUCAACUGCUGGCUUGCAGGCGAUACGGGCAGACUUGAGUACUGCAGGGGAGACUGGAAUUCCUGGUGUAGCGGUGAAAUGCGCAGAUAUCAGUAGGAACACCGGUGGCGAAGGCGGGUCUCUGGGCAGUAACUGACGCUGAGGAACGAAAGCGUGGGUAGCGAACAGG